GAUGAACGCUGGCGGCGUGCCUAACACAUGCAAGUCGAACGAAAAGACGACUAGUUGGCGCCGCUCUCGAGUGGGGCACGGGGGUGAGAAACGCGGGGGUAACGUACUGCACAUACGGGUAUAACUGGGGGACACGGGAUCAUAUCGCGGAGGAUGUAGUGAAGCGUGUGGUUGAGUAGAGUUAUACGGUGUUGGUUGAUCUCGCGGACUAUCAGCUGGUUGGUUGGGUAAUUGGCUACCAAGGCGUCGACGGAUAGCCCGCCUGGGAGGGGAGACGGCCACCAUGGGACUGCGAUACGGCCCAGACGCCUACGGGAGGCAGCAGUGGGGAAUAUUGCACAAUGGGCGCAAGCCUGAUGCAGCGACGCCGCGUGGGGGAUGACGGCCUUCGGGUUGUAAACUCCUUUCGCUAGGGACGAAGCGCAAGUGACGGUACCUGGAGAAGAAGCACCGGCUAACUACGUG
rnacentral:rRNA from 1 species